GUUGUUUCCACCUAGCAGCACCUGAAGGGCUGUAAAUCAUCUUGGAAGAUACAAUCUCAGGGGACUCCACUGUCUUUACUUUACACAUGGGCUGCUAUAGGACCUCAGUGUGCCUACCAGUUGAUGGGGACCACAGAUGGUGGGCAGAGCAAUGUCUUCAACCCCACACACAUCGAGGCCCGUCAUUGCUGUGAGCUCCAGCAAGGCAGACGUGACUUCGAAGUAGCUCAGAUUUCCAUCGCAGGGCUGGCCCCUGUGCAAUUUUAAUGAGCAUCCAGGCUGUUUUGGGACUAGUCGGCACUAAAAUCCCCCGAGGACUUGGGCUCAUGCAGCAGGACUGGACAGACGCCCUUAAAUCAUUAACUUGUUAAAACCAAUAAGGGGAUGUGGAACCACAAUUAAAACCUACACAAGGAGGGCUAAGAGGGGCGAGGGACUGAAAUCAGCAUGCCUUGGUUCAGAGAUCAGACUUGAGCCCCUGUUUGACUGUUCUCUUACAGCACCAAGGAUGCACCACAGACACAACCACACCAGGCACUUCUCUACUACCUAUAGUGGGUAUUCACUCAUUGUGACCUCAUGAA